ACGCUGGCGGCGUGCCUAAUACAUGCAAGUCGAACGAACUAUGGUAUUGAUUGGUGCAUGCAUCAUGAUUUACAUUUGAGUGAGUGGCGAACUGGUGAGUAACACGUGGAAACCUGCCCAGAAGCGGGGGAUAACACCUGGAAACAGAUGAUAAUACCGCAUAACAACUUGGACCGCAUGGUCCGAGUUUGAAAAAUGGCUUCGGCUAUCACUUUUGGAUGGUCCCGCGGCGUAUUAGCUAGAUGGUGGGGUAACGGCUCACCAUGGCAAUGAUACGUAGCCGACCUGAGAGGGUAAUCGGCCACAUUGGGACUGAGACACGGCCCAAACUCCUACGGGAGGCAGCAGUAGGGAAUCUUCCACAAUGGACGAAAGUCUGAUGGAGCAACGCCGCGUGAGUGAAGAAGGGUUUCGGCUCGUAAAACUCUGUUGUUAAAGAAGAACAUAUCUGAGAGUAACUGUUCAGGUAUUGACGGUAUUUAACCAGAAAACCACGGCUAACUACGUGCCAGCAGCCGCGGUAAUACGUAGGUGGCAAGCGUUGUCCGGAUUUAUUGGGCGUAAAGCGAGCGCAGGCGGUUUUUUAAGUCUGAUGUGAAAGCCUUCGGCUCAACCGAAGAAGUGCAUCGGAAACUGGGAAACUUGAGUGCAGAAGAGGACAGUGGAACUCCAUGUGUAGCGGUGAAAUGCGUAGAUAUAUGGAAGAACACCAGUGGCGAAGGCGGCUGUCUGGUCUGUAACUGACGCUGAGGCUCGAAAGUAUGGGUAGCAAACAGGAUUAGAUACCCUGGUAGUCCAUACCGUAAACGAUGAAUGCUAAGUGUUGGAGGGUUUCCGCCCUUCAGUGCUGCAGCUAACGCAUUAAGCAUUCCGCCUGGGGAGUACGGCCGCAAGGCUGAAACUCAAAGGAAUUGACGGGGGCCCGCACAAGCGGUGGAGCAUGUGGUUUAAUUCGAAGCUACGCGAAGAACCUUACCAGGUCUUGACAUACUAUGCAAAUUUAAGAGAUUAAGCGUUCCCUUCGGGGACAUGGAUACAGGUGGUGCAUGGUUGUCGUCAGCUCGUGUCGUGAGAUGUUGGGUUAAGUCCCGCAACGAGCGCAACCCUUAUUAUCAGUUGCCAGCAUUAAGUUGGGCACUCUGGUGAGACUGCCGGUGACAAACCGGAGGAAGGUGGGGAUGACGUCAAAUCAUCAUGCCCCUUAUGACCUGGGCUACACACGUGCUACAAUGGAUGGUACAACGAGUUGCGAACUCGCGAGAGUAAGCUAAUCUCUUAAAGCCAUUCUCAGUUCGGAUUGUAGGCUGCAACUCGCCUACAUGAAGUCGGAAUCGCUAGUAAUCGCGGAUCAGCAUGCCGCGGUGAAUACGUUCCCGGGCCUUGUACACACCGCCCGUCACACCAUGAGAGUUUGUAACACCCAAAGUCGGUGGGGUAACCUUUUGGAACCAGCAGCUUAAGGGGGAACAGAUAAUUAGGGGGAAGUCGUACCAGG
rnacentral:rRNA from 2 species